AAGGACUUAGGAUAGUAUAGACCAAAGGCCUUCAAAGCCUUAAGCAGAAGUUAAAAUCUUCUAGUCUUUR
rnacentral:tRNA from 1 species